rnacentral:rRNA from 1 species
GACAGAGGGUGCAAACGUUGUUCGGAAUUACUGGGCGUAAAGCGCGUGUAGGCGGCCCUGCAAGUCGGGUGUGAAAUCCCACGGCUCAACCGUGGAAGUGCAUUCGAAACUGCAGGGCUAGAGUCCUGGAGAGGAAGGUGGAAUGCUUGGUGUAGAGGUGAAAUUCGUAGAUAUCAAGCGGAACACCGGUGGCGAAGGCGGCCUUCUGGACAGUGACUGACGCUGAGACGCGAAAGCGUGGGAAG